CAUAUCGAACGUGCAGGUGAGCGUGGGAAGAAAAUAGUUUCACAAAUGCGGCCCACACGUCCACACCCGACUGCUGGAUAGGGACUUAAGUCGGUUUUCCGGAGAAUGUCGCUUUAAAUCGGGAGUCACCGGAGUUCGUCUCACCUGGACGCUCAGUAACGGACAGGUACCUACCGGAAUUUAUCAAAUUUCUCCUCGCUACAGAAAGCAACAGCCGGCCCAAGAGUCGAGCUACAACCCGAGCAGUUUGUGAGUGAGAGAAGCGGUUUCACCUGUCAGCGCAGAAGACUCGCCUGAACAGGAAACACACCGGUCCGACAGGUGAAGCAGGACCUGCAGCAUUCCGCCCUGUGCAUACCUGCAUCCCCCUGUGCUAAUAUAGAACUCCAGCGGAUGUGUUGUUCCAAGAGGAGUUAGGGGAAAAUACUAUAUCGAAAGUACAAUUUACUCGAACAAAGGGAUUCUUGUUUGCAUCCGGUGAGGAUAUUUGUGAUGCUCCACUCCUAUUUGGAUCUCACUGAAGCCGUCUUGGUCCAGAUGUGAGAACACAAGCCGUGCAGAUCAGAUCGAUAUUUUCUAUUCCUCGGGGAGGAAGAAAAGACGGAUGGAGGGAACCUACAGGCCCAGUGCAGAGGAGACGAAACAGUCGAGAACAGCGGGAUGUGAAAGACCCCACCUGCAGCUACCGUUGCCCAAAGAGGAGCGCCUCAUUUAAUCGAAGUGGCCUCGCAUGCUUUCACUCCGCUGUCACCUUGUGAAGCCGUGGAUUGAUAAAAACUUGUUUCCUGAUGUGCCGGCGCUGCUGGGGGAUCAUCCAUGUUUGUCUUUUGCACCGGACUGAUCAAUUCUACCACCUGUUUCACUCCAUGAAGAGAGGAACCAUUUCAUACUGUAAGGUUUGCUCACUGGUAUUAUGUAAACAAGUCACUUCUUUAAUUGUGUCACAUGAGGAACAUGAACUGAAGUAUGUUUUGUAUUUGUGUGCAGGUUAGUAUUUUUUCACUGUGCUGUGUGUUCUGUGUAUUUAUGUAAAGCUUUAUCUUUUUACACUCUCUCCAACUAUGAAGAAUGCUGAUUAAAACACUGAUGACUGUGAUGCACUUUUAUAUCAAGUUCCAAAAAGCACAAUUUAAUAGAAAACAUAAAAAAAACUGUUUGUAUGGUACACAAGGUGUUAUGUGAAUAAACCAACAAAUGUCCACACUAAA